rnacentral:rRNA from 1 species
UACGUAGGGUGCAAGCGUUGUCCGGAAUUAUUGGGCGUAAAGAGCUCGUAGGCGGUCUGUCGCGUCGGCUGUGAAAACUCGGGGCUCAACUCCGAGCUUGCAGUCGAUACGGGGCAGGCUAGAGUUCGGCAGGGGAGACUGGAAUUCCUGGUGUAGCGGUGAAAUGCGCAGAUAUCAGGAGGAACACCGGUGGCGAAGGCGGGUCUCUGGGCCGAUACUGACGCUGAGGAGCGAAAGCGUGGGGAGCGAACAGG